UGUAUCUGAAGCCUGACGAGGAUGAGAACCUCCGGGGGCAAGAGGUUCGACUCGAGCGCAGCGAGAGAACGUUGCUUCAGCAACGGCCCGCAGGGCGAGCCACGCAGUGGCGAGUCAUCCUCUAUCACCGGCAG
rnacentral:sRNA from 9 species